UACGGAGGGUGCGAGCGUUGUCCGGAAUCACUGGGCGUAAAGGGCGCGUAGGCGGCAUGCCAAGCGUGUGGUGAAAACCCGGGGCUCAACCCCGGGUCGGCCGUGCGGACUGGCGUGCUCGAGCACUGUAGGGGCGGGUGGAAUUCCGGGUGUAGCGGUGGAAUGCGUAGAGAUCCGGAAGAACACCGGUGGCGAAGGCGGCCCGCUGGGCAGGAAGGCUCGCAAGAGCCGGCUGACGCUGAGGCGCGACAGCGUGGGGAGCAAACAGG
rnacentral:rRNA from 1 species